rnacentral:lncRNA from 1 species
UUUAAACUAAAAUGAAUUAUUAAAAUGUGUGACACUGAAGGUAGCUAGCAAGUCUUAAUUAUACUGCUCAUGGGAACAAGAAAAGUGAACAAAUUAAUUAAUAUUCUGGAGAUGUAUAUGAACUUGCAUACUAAUAUAAUUAAAUAAUUAAAUAAUUAAUUAAUUUGUAUUGGGAUUGUUAGCUGGCAGAAAUGAAUAGAAAUAGAAGAAGAUUGGAAGAUUAGAGGAUGAGAAGAUUGGAAGAGCAAAGCAUGCAGCAGAAGGGUCGCCGGAUCUUUCGCCAUCCCACGUCGCUCAGAUUCCUCUGUUACACCUCCGGAACCUGGACCACUACUUUUAACGCAGCUUCCUGCCUGCUUUCCUUCUCCC